UGGAAUAGUCUUGGAAUUUUGCUUACUCA
rnacentral:piRNA from 1 species